rnacentral:misc_RNA from 1 species
AAGUCGUAACAAGGUUUCCGUAGGUGAACCUGCGGAAGGAUCAUUACCAUAUCCAAAAAACUUUACCAACCCACCGUGUGAACCGUUUUCUUUUUGCUACACUUGGGGUGAGCCGGCCGUUACCCAUGGUCUUAUCCACAAACAUUGGCCCUGGUGUCAUGUUUGGGGGUGGACUGUGCGGCGAGGGUUGGGUUGCCCCACCUGUGCGAAACUUUUCAAAACAACCCCUGGUCAAACCAAAAAAUAUACCCACUCUGAUCUAUUUUUUUUUACUUGUUCUUUUCGGAGAAAAAGCAAGAAAAAAUACCACAAACAAAACCAAUAGACAACUUAUAACGGUGGAUCUCUUGGCUCGU